UUCAAAAUAAACCUGACCUUUACAGUUAUUCGAGCAAAACUGUGGAACGGAUUAGCACGGAAGCUCAAAACGGAACCUCAACCACAGACCACGAAACUCGCCGGAAAACUCGAAUCUGACGGUAGCUCGGAUGGAACACUGACUCGACGACCUCGAACGGGAUGAUGACUGGAAACUUCUCACGUUUCUGUCACUGUUUUUGCUGUAUUUCCGACCAGUUAUGGUAGCGGCAGAUGUGAGUCAGAAAAGACGAAGGAGCAAGAGAGGAGAUGAGUAUCGUAUUUUUCGUAAUAGAAUGGAAGGGAGGAGAUUGGCUACUGCUGUGCGUGGUUGUUCAUGGUGUUGGCUGGUCGUUUGUGACGUGAUGAUUCGCCGGAAAUGCUAGCUUCGCGGUGAACGGAGGUCCAACGACGAUGGUGAGCUGGGUGAGGUCGCUUGGUUACUCGGCGUGAAAAUGGAACAACGUUGAGGGCUGGUGGUUUCCGGCGAGGGGGCGCCGAUGUUCUAGAGGAAAGAGCUUGUCGAAAAAGACGACGUAAAGGGGUGGGGGUGUCGUGCUUGUAUGGUUUUGCUUUUGUUCUGGUUUGCUGUAUGAACAAGCGGAAAAAAAGGGGGGGGUCAUUCGAAGAGGAUGACUCGCAGGGGGUGGGUCGGUUUAUUUCGUAGCUUUUUUAUUUUUUGUUCGACUUUUUCCGUUUUUCAGUCCCCCGUUGUUCAUGCACAGCUUUUCGUUCAUUUCAUUUUCGUUCCUUUCGUUCCUUCUCCUCCUAUCUCCCUCUGUUCCCUUUUUUGUGUAGGUAAAAAUGGUUUUAUAGAGUGUGUGGGGUAGGGUAUUANNNNNNNNNNNNNNNNNNNNNNNNNGAGAUUCAGAAACCGGUCAACAUGCAGGUUCAGAACAAAUAAAUGCACAGCACAAGAGAAUGCAUCAGGAUGGUCUUUUCAUUUCAGGUUGCUAGUCCUAGACGGACCCAACUCCUGUGUUGAGCCCCCUAAGUCAAAUGCAACGUGAUGCAAAUAAGCGUUCCUACUAGGGAUCCGGCAUGAAGUCACGUUAUUCUAUGUUCAAAACCUGGGUCGGUGUUCUUGACUGUGUACCCGAGCGGACAACUCGAGUCGAGGAGGGGGCAACUUACCGGGAACCAAAAGGCCAUCCGGCUUCGUAACUUGUCCGGCCUCUUUCUUAUUUCAAGGUAUGACACUAACAGAAUAGGGAGUCUCAACCAGUAAGCACAUCCCCGGAGGUGAAGAGAGAAGGGUGUCAGCACAGUUUAUAUACAGUUCAGAUAAUAUCAAAGCGGUAAAAGCAUCAUUUAACACAUUAGGCACAAACAUGUAAUCAGAUAACAGAUAAAGCCAAAUACAACAAUUCAUCUAAGCUCGAAUUCUGAACCCUGAACCAGAGAUUCUAGGUUCUGGUCCCUAGCAGAGUCGCCAAAGCUGUCACACCUCCUUUUUCGCUACACCCGCAAAGGCGUAAAGGAGUUUUUCUAAUUAAAGGACAAUCGGAACGGGAUUUAAUUAUUAAUUAUUCAGAGUCUCCACUUGGGAUAUUAAUGGUGUCUCAAGUCACCGGUUGAAUUCCGAAUCGAGGAAAUUUAUGACUCUGUUAACAGUCCGCGAACCAGAAAUCCGAGUAAGGAAUUCUGUUAACCCGGGAGAAGGUGUUAGGCAUUCCCGGACUCCGUGGUUCUAACACGGUCGCUUAACUGUUGUAUUUUGAUUUUAUCUGAUUUUAAUACAUGCUAGCUUAUGUGCUUUUUUAUUUGUAAACCGCUUUUAUCAUUAUAUUUUAAAAGAAUUGCAACGUUGUGGAAAUGCGUCUCGGACCACGUCACAAUCAAUGCACCCGUGGUUGUCAACACAUUUCGACAUCUGUUGAGAUUUGGAUUUGGGUCACAUAAAUGUACACCCAAAUUUAGGAAAGUAAUAUUAUUGAACUAACGCUCCUAAGGCAAUUUCGCGUUUACAACUUUGCGAGGGCCAUGAAAAAUUCAACUAAACGGCACGCCUCGAUCUAUCCUUAAGGAAUUGUAAUUAUGUCAUGCGAACGUGUCCACAACCACGACGAUAGAUUAAACGUGACUAAAAGUAUGAUAGCGAUGUGAACUAACUAACUUGAUUAAAUUAUAUUGAUAAAGAAAAUAAAUUUUACAAUGUCCGAAAAUAAAACAUGAGUAAACUUAAUAUAUGUCCUAUUGAAUGCAUAAAUUGUGUCAAAAACCUAGAUUUCAAUCAAUUCCAAUUCACAAGAUAAAUGCCAACCCAUCAAUCCAAUUAAGUGAAACAGUCUAAAUGCGUAUCGACAAGGCAUUCUUGCUAGACACGUUCACCUAUUAAGCAAUCUCAUUCUUCAACAUAUAUUUGCACUAGAAUAACGUGAGUUCAACUAUUUUUAUAAUAAUAAAAAUUUAAACAAAGAACCAACUCAAGCUAAUUUGAAGUAAACACUACAAAUAAUCACAUAAUAUUAACUAAAAUGCAAAAUAAACUAACACAUCAGAUUCAUAUAAGAGGAGAAAUAAAGAUGCAGAGUUUAAGACUGUAUUUCAAAAUGAACUUGACCUUUACAGUUAUUCGAGCAAAACUGUGGAACGGAUUAGCAUGGAAGCUCGAAACGGAACCUCAACCACAGACUACGAAACUCGCCGGAAAACUCGAAUCUGACGGUAGCUCGGAUGGAACACUGACUCGACGACCUCGAACGGGACGAUGAUUGGAAACUUCUCAUGUUUCUAUCACUGCUUUUGCUGUAUUUCCGACCAGUUAUGGUAGCGGCAGAUGCGAGUCGGAAAAGACGAAGGAGCGAGAGAGGAGAUGAGUAUCGUAUUUUUCGUGAUAGAAUGGAAGGGAGGAGAUUGGCUACUACUGUACGUGGCUGUUCAUGGUGUUGGCUGGUCGUUUGUGACGUGAUGCUUCGCUGGAAAUGGUAGCUUCGCGGUGAACGGAGGUCCAACGACGAUGGUGAGCUGGGUGAGGUCGCUUGGUUACUCGGCGUGAAAAUGGAACAACGUUGAGGGCUGGUGGUUUCCGGCGAGGGGGCGCCGGUGUUCUAGAGGAAAGAGCUUGUUGAAGAAGACGACGUAAAGGGGUGGGGGUGUCGUGCUUGUAUGGUUUUGCUUUUGUUCUGGUUUGCUGAAGGAAUGAACAAGCGGAAAAAAAAGGAGGGGUCGUUCGAAGAGGAUGACUCGCAGGGGGUGGGGUCGGUUUUUUUGCGUAGCUUUUGUUAUUUUUUGUUCCACUUUUUCCGUUUUUCAGUCCCCCGUUGUUCAUGCACAGCUUUCCGUUCAUUUCAUUUUCGUUCCUUCUCCUCCUAUCUCCCUCCGUUUCCUUUUUUGUGUAGGUAAAAAUGGUUUUAUAGAGUGUGUGGGGUAGGGUAUUAUGUGGGGGGGUUUAUUUGGGGAGAAGGUGUUAUGUGAGGUAAUAUUUUGGGAGGAAGGUUUUAGGUGGGGAAAUAUUUUGGG
rnacentral:lncRNA from 1 species